CCUUAUAGUGGGGGAGUAGCCUUUCGAAGGAAGAUUAAUACCGCAUAAGAUUGUAGUAUCGCAUGAUAUAGCAAUUAAAGGAGCAAUUCGCUAUAAGAUGGACCCGCGUCGCAUUAGCUAGUUGGUGAGGUGAUGGCUCACCAAGGCGACGAUGCGUAGCCGACCUGAGAGGGUGAUCGGCCACAUUGGGACUGAGACACGGCCCAGACUCCUACGGGAGGCAGCAUG
rnacentral:rRNA from 1 species